UCUAGAACUUGAGAUAUGGACUGAACACUGAACAUUAUCUAGGCUGCGGGACAUUCCGACUACUCCGUUAUUGCUAAGAUUUGGACUUCCACACAGCAGAAUUGAGUGUUUUAUUCCUCAUGAAUGUUUUAGGCCUAUGUCUUAGCUUUCUAGC
rnacentral:pre_miRNA from 1 species